GACGAACGCUGGCGGCGUGCUUAACACAUGCAAGUCGAGCGGUAAGGCCCUUCCGGGUACACGAGCGGCGAACGGGUGAGUAACACGUGAGUAAUCUGCCCAUCACUUCGGGAUAACUCCGGGAAACCGGUGCUAAUACCGAAUAUGACCACUUCAGGCAUCUGAUGGUGGUGGAAAGUUCCGGCGGUGAUGGAUGAGCUCGCGGCCUAUCAGCUUGUUGGUGGGGUAGUGGCCUACCAAGGCUUCGACGGGUAGCCGGCCUGAGAGGGUGACCGGCCACACUGGGACUGAGACACGGCCCAGACUCCUACGGGAGGCAGCAGUGGGGAAUAUUGGACAAUGGGCGAAAGCCUGAUCCAGCAACGCCGCGUGAGGGAUGACGGCCUUCGGGUUGUAAACCUCUUUCAGCAGGGACGAAGCGCAAGUGACGGUACCUGCAGAAGAAGCACCGGCCAACUACGUG
rnacentral:rRNA from 1 species